rnacentral:rRNA from 1 species
GNAGGGGGCAAGCGUUAUCCGGACNUACUGGGUGUAAAGGGAGUGUAGGUGGCCAGGCAAGUCAGAAGUGAAAGCCCGGGGCNCAACCCCGGGACUGCUUUUUGAAACUGCAGGGCUAGAGUGCAGGAGGGGCAAGUGGAAUNCCUAGUGUAGCGGUGAAAUGCGUAGAUAUUAGGAGGAACACCAGUGGCGAAGGCGGCUUGCUGGACUGUAACUGACACUGAGGCUCGAAAGCGUGGGGAGCAAACAGGAUUAGAUACCCUGGUAGUCCACGCCCUAAACGAUGUCUACUGGUUGUUGGGGUUUUUUAACCUUGGUAACGAAGCUAACGCGUGAAGUAGACCGCCUGGGGAGU